rnacentral:lncRNA from 1 species
CAUUCUCAAGUGCCCAGUUUCCAGAAUGUAUCCAACAGAUGAUUCUGCUCCUUUGCCUGCUGGCACACUGGAUCAACCAUUGUUUGAAGUAAUACAGGAAGCCAUGCAAAGACACAUUCAGGGCAUGCAGUUCUGAGAAAGGAAUGCUGGACCACUGAUAGAUCGAAACAUGAAGGAUGAAGGUAUGGAACUUUAACUCCAUAGUGAAUAUUCACUGAUGCAGAGGAAUUA